rnacentral:rRNA from 1 species
UACGUAGGGUCCAAGCGUUUGUCCGGAAUUAUUGGGCGUAAAGCGCACGUAGGCGGCUUUUCAAGUCGGAUGUGAAAUCCCUCGGCUUAACCAAGGAAGUGCAUCCGAAACUGGAAGGCUUGAGUACUUAAGAGGAUCGCGGAAUUCCCGGUGUAGAGGUGAAAUUCGUAGAUAUCGGGAGGAACACCAGUGGCGAAGGCGGCGAUCUGGGAAGAUACUGACGCUGAGGUGCGAAAGCGUGGGGAGCAAACAGG